ensembl:lncRNA
CAGGAAGAGGGCAACCAGAGAGGGUGAGAGCGCCGCUCACGGUUACCCACAAGUUUCGGAACAAAGUUGGCAGCAUGAGGAGUCUGGGUUCGAAUCCUAGCACAGCUGGUCGGAUCGCUAGCAGUUAAAAUCUCAGGAGGAACAACAGAAGGUGCCUGGAUGAUCCCUGUUCCAUCUGGGGGCUGCCAAAGCAUUCACUUCAGCCGAAGCCUGUCACCGUAUAGACUAACUGUGGCCUGGAACUUCAGGGCCUUCCUUAUUCUGAAUCUUGUGCUCUUGCCAUCACAUCGUGCCAGGCUCUUGGCUCUCCCCUGGCAUGCACAAAUCUCCCUCUGGAAGUGGGAAGCAGCUGGGUCCCCGGAUGACUGCCACAGUGUGGGAGCCCUCCACCGUGCGUAGAGAGGUUGAAGAGCGGCAGAGAAAGCACUUCCAAUCAAGCGUUGUGACAUCAUACCUCAGCUCUAUGGUGUGAAAUGUAAUAAACAGAAGCUUCAUUUAAAAGGAAAUUGGGGGAAUUCCCUGGCAGGCCAGGGGUUAGUAUUCAGCCUUUCACUGUCAAGGGCACAGGUUCAAUCCUUGGUUAGGGAACUAAGAUCCUGAAAGCCACAAGGUGCAGCCAAAAAAAUUUUUGAAAAAAAUAAAAUAAAAUGGAAUUGGGAGGCCAGAGGGGGAGCUCUCAUAGUCUACCAUUCAGCAUCAGUUGCAGACCCAACAGGAAGAGAAUACCUCACAUUUCUAUCAAGAAGGCUACUACUUUUCUAUCCAGCAAGAAAAGGAAGAAUUUCUCUUGGCCUGGCAACAACCCAGCCAUUGAGAGAUUGCCACAACUCAGCCAAUGAAAAGCCACAACACUUCCAACUCCUAGUUUCCUCCAAUGAGCUCUUUUGGUUAUAACAGCCCCUCCCAAUCCCCCUUCCCCUCUAUAAAAGAAAGUGCCCCUGCUUUGUUCUCCUGACUUGCCUGUGGUUUGCCAUGGAUAACAUGUCCCAAAUUGCAAUUCUUUGCUGUUCCCAAAGAAACCCAUUUUGCUGCUAAAAUUCCUGGGUAUUUUAUUAAGUCAAUACUAG